rnacentral:tRNA from 1 species
UAUUUAUAUAGUUUAACUAAAACAUUACAUUUUCACUGUAAAAAUAAAAAUUUAUUUUUUGUAAAUA